UGGAUUAGGCAUGCAAGUCGCGCGGGUGUAGCAAUACAUCAGCGGCGUAAGGGACAGGAAUACGUAGACAACCUACCCUCGGGACCUGAAUAGCUGCGGGAAACUGCAGGUAAUGCGGGAUAACGUCUCCGGACCAAAGGUGUGAGUCCGCCGGAGGAUGGGUCUGCGUCCUAUUAGCUAGUUGGUGAGGUAACGGCUCACCAAGGCAAUGAUGGGUAGCAGGUGUGAGAGCACGACCUGCGUCACUGGGACUGAGACACUGCCCAGACACCUACGGGUGGCUGCAGUCGAGGAUUUUCGUCAAUGGGCGCAAGCCUGAACGAGCGACGCCGCGUGCGGGAUGAAGGCCUUCGGGUUGUAAACCGCUGUCAGUGGGGAGGAAAUGCAUGUGGGUACUCCCACAUGUUUGACUAAUCCGCAGAGGAAGUGUGGGCUAAGCUCGUGCCAGCAGCCGCGGUA
rnacentral:rRNA from 1 species